rnacentral:rRNA from 1 species
AGAGUUUGAUCCUGGCUCAGAUUGAACGCUGGCGGCGUGCCUAACACAUGCAAGUCGAGCGGUAACGCGGGAGCAAUCCUGGCGACGAGCGGCGAACGGGUGAGUAAUGCUUCGGAAUCUGCCCAGUAGUGGGGAAUAACCAACCGAAAGGUUGGCUAAUGCCGCAUACGACCUACGGGUGAAAGCAGGGGAUCGUAAGA